GAAAAAUAGAAAAAUUAAUAACUCUUCUCUGCGUCCUCUGUUCUGGGUAGGAAUUACGAAUCUCCCGUGGGGAAUGCGGAGAGAUGGGAGCUGCUUUGCUGACCAAGAGUGAACUUUGUUGCCGUGCUAAGCGGUGUAUCGGCGGCAGAAAUUGCCACCGGAAACACGUUGAAGACGGGUGAUCGUUUUCCCAAUCCAAACUACUGCACAAGCUCCUCUUUUCUAAUUCUUUUUCUCAGAAUUUUCAUCUCAUAUUCUCUUUGUAUUGUAUAUACUCUUUGAAUAAAAUAUUGUCUCUGUAGCGGAUUUCUCUUUGCGUACAUUCAUGGCAGAAAAGCGCAGAGAUUCUCACUCAACCUUGCUUCAUGGGAGAUACGAG
rnacentral:misc_RNA from 1 species